ACGCCCCUGGCGUCGCUGGUGUGGCGAAGCAGAUAGCUUCAGGCAUAGCUCACAGUUAGGCAGGUAGCUGACACUAGGCAGGAUAGCUUGAUAGCCGUCCUCUUACGAUUUCGUCAGGGACAUUUGCCUGUUCCGAAUGGCGUUGCCACCUCGACCACUAUUUCGGGAUUAGGUACUUCGCGCGCGAUACGUGUUGAAGUGAAGUGUGGUUUUCUGUUAAGCGAAAUGUGGUUUCGAGGAAGCAGACGACAUGCGGAAGUGCCUCGUUAGCUCGAUAGCUUUGUUAGUACUGCUGCACUUCUUCGGGCUGCAGGUCAGCGCUUCCUGCUGCAGCCAAUGUGAGUGGCCGUCAACCUUGUUGCACUUCAUGUGCGUGUGCGGGCAGUCUGUUUGCCCAUUACUGUGGUUCGCGCCUCGCACACUUGGUUGAACGCGCCGCUCGCUUUGGUCGAGUUCUUGGAACACGGCCCGCGCACGCGUGCGAACCUCGUCACGGUGAGUAUACCUGUUAUUCCUACGUUCUUAUUUCUAACGAGUGUUUGUUGAACGUUUCAGAUGCCUUGUACCUGUGGGUUGCCAUACAUCGACGUGUGACCACGGCAGACCUCCGAGCACCAGCACAUGUAUGCAUCGUUGCGGCGAGUAUCAUCGCAACAUGGCAAAUGAAAUGACAGGGGUGUUUAAUACUGGCGAGGCUGCAGUUAGUUUUGGUGUAUAAACAGCCCCCAGUUUUGGCGACCGGCUGUUGCAGCCAUAUCGGGUCUUCUCCUUGACGGAAUCGAAGAGGACGGGGUACGGGAGGGAGGCGCGCCGCAUACAGCUUCAGCCUUAGCGAACACGAUAGGUAGGAUAUGCCAAGUGUCCUCUUUCGAUUUCGUCGGGGGACAUUGAACCCGUUCCGAAUGUCUUUUGUGAAGCGACCACUAUUUCGUGUCGAGUAGCCCGCGCGCGAUAGUGCGCUCGAGCGAAAUGUGUUUUCGCGGAAGCAAACGGCAUUCGGAAUUCCCUCGCCAGCUUUUGAUUAACCGUACCGUACAACAUGCUGCUCAUGUUACAGCGCGGUUUCAUUCCACUUAUUGCUGUUUUUCCUGGUCGCUGUGUUUUUCAUGAUCCCACAUAUUCGCGGUGUAUGCUAACCAUGCAGUUUUGAGGUUUACUUUCAGGCUUUUCUUCUAGUCCCGCCGACCUUCCAGGAGGAGUCCAUGGAGCGCCGCACAUUAUUCUCAACAUGGGCCGGCGGAUGUCCAGUUCCUGAACGAGCUGUGCAUCGAAGGCUGUCCAGCCCGAGUCCACGGUGGAGAUGGCGUUGAGCAGCACCCUUCCUGUGGCAGUGUCGGCAGCACUUCCGCAUUCAACCGCCGAUAGUCCUGUCAGCAGGAGGGUCUUCAAUAAGCGCCAUAUGCUUUUCCGCGUCUGUCUUCCACUGCUACCCGUGACAAGGACAUUGAGCUGGGUCCUGCAGACUGCUUCUAAUGCCUAUGUUCCUGAGGUCCCCUGGGCAUCACACGCCACAUGGCCGAACUUGCUUCCAUCUUCGCACUGCUUCGCUGAUGGCGUCAUCGAGGGAGACUGCGCAUUGCUGCUACUCGUGGAAUCCUGUUGCCUAACCGCGCCUGUCUUCCAUUGCUACCCGUGACAAGGACAUGGAGCUGGCUCCUGCAGAUUGGUUCCAAUGUAUACGUUCCUGAGGUCCCCUGGGCAUCACACGCCACAUGGCCGAACUUGCUUCCAUCUUCGCACUGCUUCGCUGAUGGCGUCAUCGUGGGAGACUGCACAUUGCUGCUACUCGUGGAAUCCUGUUGCUUCUCAGAGACCAUCGCUACCCGUGACAAAGACAUGGAGCUGGCUCCAGCAGACUGAUUCUAAUGCCUACGUUCCUGAGGUCCUCGGGGCACCACUCGUCGUAUGGCCGAACUCAUUGCCACAUUUGCACUGCUUCGCUGACGGCGACAUCCAGGGAGACGGGACAUGGCCACUAGUUUUGCAUACGGCUCCCAGCGUGUUCUGGCGUGUGGCGCGCUACAGAAGAUUGGCCCAGCCCGCUCACUGACAUCAACGUCCGUGGAAUUUCCUCGAGUGACUGUGUCCAGCCUGACCGUUCUACCGGGGACUCUGAACCAGUCAAGUCUUCGUACGUUUGUGAGACUUUGUUGGUGUCCUGCACUGUCUUCGCUGCGUGUGGGUGUUCUCCGCAAGUGCUGCAGUCGCCGUCGCUCGACCACCUAUCCUGUGUUGCACUAGUGUCAACAGUCUAGUGUAGCAACCCACCCUAUGUUGAGAGCUGCGCUUCGCUCAGCCAACGGCUAGGGCAUCUAGCAGUUACAAAAAUACGAACCCAAAGAACUGUCAUAAUCACUGAUUUCUCACUCAUGAGCUGAUCUAUGAAUGUUUGGUGGUGAGGGUAAGGACAUUUACAUUGUGCGCUUUUGCAGCAACGCGUAGACAGUGCCUGUUCAUGCGCACUUACAUUUGCUCACAUCGCCUAAGUCAGCAGC